UUCCUUCCAAUCAAUGAGAUGUAACAAUCUCAUCGACCAGAAGGGAUUCCUUCCAGUCAAUGAGUUUGUUAUACCUCAUCGACUGGAAGGAAUCCCUUCCGAUCGAUGAGGUAUGACUUCUCGUUGACCGGAAGGAA
rnacentral:miRNA from 2 species